rnacentral:rRNA from 1 species
GGUAGAGCAACAGGGAUUGCCUCAGUAACGGCGAGUGAAGCGGCAAGAGCUCAACUUUGGAAUCGCUCCGGCGAGUUGUAGUCUGGAGGUGGCCACCACGAGGUGUUCUAGCAGCAGGCAAGUCCUUUGGAACAAGGCGCCAGCGAGGGUGACAGCCCCGUACCUGCUUUUGCUAGUGCUUCCUGUGGCCCACCGACGAGUCGAGUUGUUUGGGAAUGCAGCUCUAAGUGGGUGGUAAAUUCCAUCUAAGGCUAAAUAUUGGCGAGAGACCGAUAGCGAACAAGUACAGUGAUGGAAAGAUGAAAAGCACUUUGAAAAGAGAGUGAAACAGUACGUGAAAUUGUUGAAAGGGAAGGGCUUGCACCCAGACACGGUUUCGGCCGGGCCAGCAUCAAGUAGAACGGGGUUAAAAGACCUGGGGAAUGUAGCUACCUCUUGGUAGUGUUAUAGCCCUUGGGUGAUGACCCCUGUUUUGCUUGAGGACAGCGGUCUCUAGGAUGCUGGCGCAAUGGUUGCAAGCCACCCGUCUUGAAACACGGACCAAGGAGUCUAACGUCUAUGCGAGUGUACGGGUGAAAAACCCCUGCGCGGAAUGAAAGUAAGAGGUUGGAACCCUCUCGGGGGUGCACAAUCGACCGACCCAGAAGUGCUCGGACGGGUUUGAGUAGGAGCAUAGCUGUUGGGACCCGAAAGAUGGUGAACUAUACCUGAAUAGGGUGAAGCCAGAGGAAACUCUG